rnacentral:misc_RNA from 1 species
CUUACUUUAUAUUAAUCACUGUCUUAUGAAUAUCUAUAUAUCAAAUAUAUCUUUCGAAUUUUCAAGAAAUUUAUUUAACACUUUUUAUAUUUCAUGUUGCACGAGUUUGUAAGUUCGUAAAAUUAAUUUUUCGUACAAAAUAAUUUUCCCUUAUUUUUUCCUUCUAUGUGUGCUUUUCGUCCAUAUUUUUCUAUAAUGGCUGAAAAACCGUUACUAUUGAAGGUAUAAAAUGAAGUUUCAAAAUGGCGCCACGUAAAAAAAAUGGGACGCUACGACGUGGUCUAUCAAGUAAUUCUUCAGAGGAAGAACAUAAUUAUUUGCGUUCGUUAAAUGAUUAUCAGGCACGAGUUCGAAGACGGGAAAGUAUUCGAAAUUGUAAAAAUGUAGCGGAAUAUGAUUUAGAGCAAAAAAUAGAAUUAGAAACUAAAAUAAAAGAAGGCUCUGCAAGACUGUUAGCUGCUGCACGACACCCUGCACAAUGUUUGGAAGCAGCACGUGCCUUGUUUACCUCAAGCAAAAGAAUGUUUACCUAUAUGAUUGAAUUAGAACAUCAACGAAGAGAUGCAUCAUUGAAAACGAUCACUUCAGAAAGUAAAGGAAAGUUAUCUAUCUCAGAUCUUAGAUUUCCUUUGAUGUGGAAAGAUUCUGAUCAUUUUAAAAAUCGCGGAGAUUAUCGAAGAUUUGCAAUAUUUUGUAUAGUUCGAGUUGGCGCAGAAGUUCAUGAUACAAGCUUACUUUUUCCCAUUGAUAGAAAACAAACGGAUAUUAGCUUUCCUGACGUUUUAUUAUUCCAUAAUGUAUCAGCUGAAUUUGAAUUGUCUUUAGAAGUUUAUAGUCAUAUUUUACAAGAGGAUCUCAGCAUUGCCAGUACUCCGAGAAAAAUUAGAAGAACUAUUCAUUCUUCAAUUUCAAAAACUGUAGGUAGAACAUUCGCAGCAACUCUACGAGAUGAAUAUGUGUCUAAUAAAGCACCGCAAUUUGAGUUGAUGGCAUACGCAAAGAUGACACUUGACGAUACCGAUGGGGACAUACGUUCACAUGAACUAAUAUUAAAUAAUUUUGCGAAUAAAGUUCACACCUUGCCACUUUUUGGACAUUUUUGUUGUCGCUUAGCUGUUCAACCGUACUACAUCGAUAAAGAAGUUUGCGCCGGAUUCGCAAUUGUAAAUAGUCAACGAUGUUGGAUACGAUUACAGGGAUUUCAAUUGCAAGCUUGGAAAUCAAAAAAAUGUUUAGAAAAGUUACAAACUCCUGUUUGUAUAAUUUGUAUAAACAAGAAAACCAUCGUUCGCCAAUCAAAAGCAGUAAAAAAUCAAUUACGGAUAAUCAAUUAUAUAAAUGGUAAUGAGAAGCGCGAUAUUGUAGAAUUAUACUCAAACGAAGAUGUUCAGAAAUGGUUUGAGCAAUUAACAAUGUGCAUUAAAGAAAAUGCCAAGUGGAAACAUACAGUGAUAACAGUUCAACAAAUUCCAAAUUGUGAGAAUUCGAAUGAAGAUACAAAUAUACAAAUAUAAAAAAUUCUUUUGAUGAUAACAAAUAACAAAAAUCUUUCUAUUACGAAACGCCAUUAAUAGGAAUCAACUAUCCUAAAUAU